rnacentral:lncRNA from 1 species
CCCCGGACUAAUUAGACCGCAUAGAAGUUGCUUUAAGUACGGUAGUAAUAUCAAUGCAAUGCAAGGGAAGAUGAAACUCAACCGCAUCUUAGAAAUCUAUUAUAUAUGUAUAAAAACAGAGCAACGGGUCUAUAUAUUUUGUUUGGCAUGUGUCCAUAUAUUUAUGGGAGAGAAAUGGAGGUAAGGGAGCUCCGAAGCGCGUCGUCUCGUGCAACAUCCCGCGGUGCUAGCCCGCUUCUACGUGUCUAUGGACUCGACCUUGCCAUCAAAUAUGACGGAAUCCGAUGACGCCAUAGGCUUAAAAUCAAUUGCAGUUAAGUAAACUUCACUGCCGAACAUCAACGGAGAGAUAGCGGCACUGCCGACGGAGUCCAUCAUGAAGCUGGAGUCUUCGAGCUGAAGCGGCUGACGAAUGGGGAGAUCGCCACCGUGGUGGAGGUUCGGGUCAUGGAUCUGAACGCAGGGCGCCGCAGGUUGCGCCGAUUCCGCUGGGCACUGCUCGCCGUCGGAGGCGAGGCGAAGGAAGAAGCAGAGGCGGCGGCAGGAGAAGGUGGGGAUGGGAGUUUCGGCAGGUCGCGAGACGAGAUCGGCAUAGAGGAGAGCGCGC